rnacentral:lncRNA from 1 species
GCACAGGGGGGACAUAACGGAAUUCAUCUCCUUCAAUCACACACACCACCACUCUGCUCUGCAAAAAAAACCAUACCAACCCCCAACCACAUUUUGGCCUUUCACUCCUAAUUCUUCCUUAUACGUUACUCACUCAAGGUUCCGACCCAAGGAGACUGGGAAAAACAUCACACACCUCCAAUGCCAUCAUCGUUCACACACAUGAUUCUCUAUCAACACCGACAACCAGUAUCCCCAUCUUCAUCUCGUUUCUCUCGGCCUAUGCAACUUUGAUGACAAACCUGC